rnacentral:lncRNA from 1 species
UGUUAAAUUCGAGUUUAUAUUUUAGAAUCUACUGAUGUAGGAAAGAACAACCCCCACCUGCCGGAAAAAGGUACAGUAAUAUAUGUGCUAAAACAAAAGAAAAAUUACAUUUUUGUGUACAUUGUGCUUUUCCAUGACUUUUGCCAUGUUCUUGUAUUUAAAAUGAUGUAAAAUGUAUUUUUAAAUAAAUAUUGUGUACUGUGUGUGUAUAUUUUGUACUGUGUGUGUGUGUGUGUGUGUGUAUUGUGUACUGUGUGUGUAUAUUUUGUACUGUUUGUGUGUGUAUUAGGUGUGCUGGUGAUUUUCCUGGCGUUCUCUGUGCUGCUGGUGGUGGUGGUCACUCUGCUGUUGGUCACUCUGUGUCUAAAGUUUGGAAACAGAAGGAAAAAUACAGAGCCUAAACCGGAGGAAACUGAGCUGCAGCUGCAGAAGAGUUCAGGUGGAGAUAGAGACAGGAGCUCCAGUAAUGAAGAGCAUCUCGUUUCUGCCAAAGACCACAGCGAGGUCCAGUACGCAUCACUGGGACGCCAUAACUUCAGACCUCGAGGAUGGACAAGAGACAGCCGACAGCAAGUCAUCUAUUCCACACUGAUGCUCACGCCAACCAGCUCUCCAACCAACACCUCCAUUACUCCCAGACUGUAGAUCCAACCAGCUCUCCAACCAACACCUCCAUUACUCCCAGACUGUAGAUCCAACCAGCUCUCCAACCAACACCUCCAUUACU